AAAGCCGGCCGGGCGGCCGCUGCGCGGGUCGGUUCGCCGGCGCCUCGCAGAGGAAAGUCCGGGCUCCACAGGACACGAUGGUGGGUAACGCCCACCGUCCGCAAGGACCGGGAAAGUGCAACAGAAAGUAUACCGCCGGGCAAGGGCGGAAUUCGGAGUGCGGAGUUCGGAAUGGAGGAUCGUAGUCUCUCAUUCCGCAUUCCCCACUGCGCAUUCCGAACUUGCCAGGUAAGGGUGAAAAGGUGCGGGCGAAAGCCUUAAUGUAAGAGCGCACCAGCAGCCGGGUGACCGGCUGGCUCGGCAAACCCCAUCGGGAGCAAGGCCAAGCAGAGAGCAGGACCUGUCCGGUCCUUUAUCGACUCUCGGGUAGGCUGCUCGAGCGCUGGAGCAAUCCAGCGCCUAGAGAAAUGGCCGCUGCGUGCCGGUUACCCGGCACGAACAGAACCCGGCUUACAGGCCGGCUUUGCGA
rnacentral:RNase_P_RNA from 1 species